UGAGCCAUAUUUUUGUGAACUAUUAAUGAAUAUCAACCAGCAGCAUCAAAUAUUGAAGUUGUGUAUGUUCUACCAAUUACUUUUGGUUUGCUUUUUGUUGUUAUUGUAAUACAUUGAGAUGCAUUAAAAACUGAGGCGUUAUCCCGGGAUAAAAUAACUGACCAAUGUGAACCAUAUGCACAAUUAUUUUAAUCUGAAAUAUGAACUGCUUUCAUGCAUUAGUGCAAAGACUGAAAAAACAAUUAUACCAAGGGCCUGAAUGUCAAUGCAAUAUUUUAUGUUACUUUAUGCUGACUUUAGAAACAUCUACAACUGUGCCUAAUUGUGCUGACAGUAACACAGUGUUGUACUGUGCUACAGUUUACAUUGUCUCACCACAAAAUGAGGUUGUGAAAUGGGGCAACUAAAGACAGAUACUGACUCUUAACUCUGACGUCUACAGAUGUUUUUACAUUCCCUGCAGCCAGUAAUGACAGACAAUAUUUUAAUAUAUCUGUAAAUGUGCUCACAAGUAUCAGAGAAGAAGAUCGCCACCGAACAGAGAGACCUGAGUGAGACAGGCAGAGGGCUGGUACACAGUAGAGAGAGAUGCAGAGCUGUGCAGUGUUGAUUGGCAGUUCCAGAGAGGUCCUAAAAGGUCUUGCAGCUUUUUACUCGAAGACCUGCAAGAAGGAGAAAGAGAGUAUAGAUUCAAGAUAACAUUGGGAGAUGAUCAAAUGUAUGUUUUUCCUGAGAGGGUGCGAGUCUCAGUGUCUGAUAUCCCUGGGUCAGAGAAAAGGGAUGUUGCAGUCUUUUUCUGGAUAAUCGUUGGCUUGUCCCUCAGCCUUAAUGUGGCCCUCCUUGUCUAUCUGACCAGUCCUUGUAAAUGCAAAAAGGGUGAAAAGAAGAGAGCUAAAGAAGAAGAUAGUACCUACAUCUAAUUGGACAAGGCAGACGUGUCUCCCGAAUAUGACAUCAUCUCUCCGAAUCCCCAAUGAUCCUCUGCUUGUGAUAAACUUCUAUUUUAUUUUAGCCUUUCGUUCAGAGGCUUGAUUUUGCUAUUUUAUUUCAAUGUAAAUUAUUUUCUAUUACUUUAAGUUUUUUUUUGU